GCCACCUUAGCUCAGCUGGUAGAGCAGGGCUUUCGUAAAGCCAAGGUCCCCGGUUCGAGUCCGGGAGGUGGCUCCA
rnacentral:tRNA from 1 species